GAAUCGUUGCAAGAUUUGUAUCCAUUCCUGAGGAAAUUCGAAAUAUAGAGAACAAUAGGCUCAAACUAGAGCAAAUCAUUGGUGUCUACUUUAUGAGACGAGAAAGAAAGAGCCAACGCCAUGGAUCGCUACAAGAUAUGCAGCCGUUCCUCAGGAAAUUCAAAAUAUAGAAAACAAUAGGCUCGGAUAUCAUCUCCGAGCCAGGGCGGCCGGCCGCAUGUUUGGAGCCGGAGCAACGACGCUCCGGAAGCCGCUUCCCCGUCACCGACUGCUACGCCGCAGCCCCACGCGACACCGUGGAGAGGCGCUCCGUCCGCGCCCUAGAGGUGAAGGGCAAGGAGCUUCGCCGAGUAUGGGGUCGCCGCCGCGAGCUGACGCCGGCUGGCAGCUGCUUCAGGAGAUAUGCUUGCAAUAGCAUCGUCGUCACUGACGAGUGCCUCAAGCCGACAGCCUUAGGCACCGCCAGGCCCCGCCGUCACCAACGACGGCCGCCGUUUUGCUGGUUGAACGACCUCAUCAAGGCACGAACAGGUGCAGGUCCUCCUGGUACUACCUGUGGAGGAAGAACCGUGCAUGCAGGCGCAUGGUGAGGUUGUUCAACCGGCAAAAACGCCGGCUCCUCGUCGGGAAGCUCAUCGGCAUGUUCCUCCUCAUCCUCGCCCGCGAUGUACCGGAAGAUGUCUCCGAUCAUGGCGUGGCAGCAGAGCAGAGACCGGCCUGGGACCUGGAACACGUCAACGAUCAGGUUAGUUAUUACUGUCGUCUCAUCGGUCAACAGACAGAGGGACAUUGGUGAAAGACAAAGGUCAGACGUACGUUUACUUACUGUAUGAGACGAGGCGACGGACUCUGCUUCACGAGGAAGGGCCGGGCCGUGUGUGUUGGUGAAGAAUGGAGGCGCGGGAGAGGGCGAAGAUAAAGAGGAGGCCGAUCGAGUGGGAGCACGG
rnacentral:lncRNA from 1 species